rnacentral:rRNA from 1 species
UACGUAGGGACCAAGCGUUGUUCGGAUUUACUGGGCGUAAAGGGCGCGUAGGCGGCCUAACAAGUCACUUGUGAAAUCUCCGGGCUUAACUCGGAACUGCCAAGUGAAACUGUCAGGCUAGAGUGCAGAAGGGGCAAUCGGAAUUCUUGGUGUAGCGGUGAAAUGCGUAGAUAUCAAGAGGAACACCUGAGGUGAAGACGGGUUGCUGGGCUGACCCUGACGCUGAGGCGCGAAAGCCAGGGGAGCAAACGGG